GUCCAGCUGACGAGUCCAAAAACAGGACGAAACGCGCAUCCUGGAU
rfam:Schistosoma curassoni strain Dakar, Senegal genome assembly, scaffold: SCTD_scaffold0000643